rnacentral:rRNA from 1 species
GGCGCGCUUAACACAUGCAAGUCGAGCGAUGAAACUACUUUGGUAGUGAAUUAGCGGCGAACGGGUGAGGAACACGUGAGGAAUCUGCCUUCUACACUGGGAUAACUCCGGGAAACCGGGGCUAAUACCGGAUAUGAAACUUGGUGGCAUCACCGAGUUUGGAAAGUUUUUCGGUAGAAGAUGACCUCGCGGCCUAUCAGCUUGUUGGUGAGGUAAUGGCUCACCAAGGCGACGACGGGUAGCCGGCCUGAGAGGGCGACCGGCCACACUGGGACUGAGACACGGCCCAGACUCCUACGGGAGGCAGCAGUGGGGAAUAUUGGGCAAUGGAGGAAACUCUGACCUAGCGACGCCGCGUGCGGGAUGAAGGCCUUCGGGUUGUAAACCGCUUUCAGUAGGGAAGAAGCGAAAGUGACGGUACCUACGGAAGAAGCACCGGCUAACUAUGUGCCAGCAGCCGCGGUAAUACAUAGGGUGCAAGCGUUGUCCGGAAUUAUUGGGCGUAAAGAGCUCGUAGGUGGUUCGUUACGUCGGAUGUGAAAAUCUGGGGCUCAACCCCAGACCUGCAUCCGAUACGGUCGAGCUAGAGUUUGGUAGGGGAGACUGGAAUUCCUGGUGUAGCGGUGGAAUGCGCAGAUAUCAGGAGGAACACCAAUGGCGAAGGCAGGUCUCUGGGCCAAUACUGACACUGAGGAGCGAAAGCGUGGGGAGCGAACAGGAUUAGAUACCCUGGUAGUCCACGCCGUAAACGGUGGGCGCUAGUUGUGGGAACCUUCCACGGUUUCUGCGACGCAGCUAACGCAUUAAGCGCCCCGCCUGGGGAGUACGAUCGCAAGAUUAAAAACUCAAAGGAAUUGACGGGGGCCCCGCACAAGCAGCGGAGCAUGCGGCUUAAUUCGACGCAACGCGAAGAACCUUACCAAGGCUUGACAUAU